UGCACCGCGCACGUCGGGGCGUGAAGACAGAAGGCCACUGUGAGGUGCUCCAGGGAUCACUGAUGGGCAGUUUUGUUAAAGUGAUUGAACUCCGUGGGUACAGGAGUACGUGGAGUAAUGAAGGAUAAUGCCCUGUAACCGCUUCCUCUUAGGAAUGCUAGCUUUCACAAUUGUGCAAACCCAUAAGGAAUAAAACUGUUCUUUUGAAAUGAAGAAGAGAACCACCUAGGAGACUACCACCCUGACCUGAGGACUUCACUAGGGAUUCAGGAAAGAAGACACAGAAAGAAAGCAAUCCUCAAGGAUCAGGAUGGACAGCAGGAGGCAAUGUGCACCUAACCCAGAUGGAAGGGAAUGGCCCAGGGUGACCAGCUGGCUCUCUUUAUCAAGCUCAGGCUCCUCAAGUCCUCACUUGGAAGAACAGUCACAGACUCCAUAUGCAGA
rnacentral:lncRNA from 1 species